GAGACUUCAUAGGAGUUUCAGAAACCUCUCUGUCUCACUGAAGCAACUGCAGGAAGUAGGGGAUAAACAAAUCCUAUCUUAAAUCCUCCUGGGAAAUACUCUGAUUUUAGGAGGAACUAAGAGAGGGUUGUGGCCAAAUUACUCCUGCCCAUCUUUGUGUUAUUUAUGGCCUUUGCUUGAUUUGAGUUAAAACAAAUGUACUUCUAGAACCUGGCAGCAAAAUGCUAUAUAAUAGAGAAGAGCAGCUGUAUCUGGCCCAUCUCAGGAUAAAAAGCAAGUGUGAAAAGACAUCGUUCCUUUUCUGUUGAACCAGAUCACUAUUCAAAAGAUUCAUUCCCCAAGAUUCUUCCUCAGCUUUGUCUUCAAUAGUCUCAAUGAAAUAGAAGAAAUUUAAAAAGUAAAAGCAAUGAGAACAACUUUAAGACAUCUCUGUAGAGAAUUCAGUCCUCUUCAGCAGUCCCAUAUUUUCAUCUGUUCAUUCAUUCAUUCCACGAAUGUCAACUCUCCAUACCGUGCUAGGCUGUGUCCUAGAUGCAGAAGCAGAACAAAUAAAGAGGCACUAGCUGAUGUCCUUGAGCCCUUUCAGGGUAACAACAUCCUUCUUGAUCUGCUGACCUGCAUGGCAAGAUGUUAUUUACUGCUCACAUUAGUUGUGUCCUUGGCUAUGAAUUAACCAUGACUUAAGAGCAGUGUGUGUGAAAGCCCUCCGCAUUCUGUUGGCAAGCAUGUUGUUUGCAAAAAUUGAUCAUUCAUUUUUAAGCAACACCUAUGUGGAUCAUUAACACCAGGUACAGUUACUAAAAUGAAACUCUUGAGAAUAUUUUCCAUUUGUAAUUUGAAUUCUUGUCAAUUUUUGAGGCUUUCCUGAAAACAAAUGACUGGGUUUUUUAAAAUCCAUCUUUUUAAGUUUUUUAUUCACUGAAUUAGUUAGAAGUGAUUCUGCUAAUCUUUCUUAACCCUAAAUGCAAUAUUUUCUGAGUGAAAUAAUGAAAAACCUGAGGAAAAAAAAACUAUAGGAAAUCAUAAUUUGCUGAGGCAGGGUUUUCUUUAUUAAUAAAAUAAUUUAAUUGGUUGUUACUAAAUGUGAUGGUUUUAUGACCAAGUAUAAGAUUUAGUUAGUAAGCAUGAAUUGCAAUUAUAUACAGCAAUAUUUCUUUGCUGGGAUGAUUGGGAAGGUCAUCUCUUUGGGCCUUAGUUUCCUCAUCCAUAAAGUAAGUUUGUUUGUACUCCAUUGAAAAAAAAAAAAAGGGUGGGGGCUGGGUGCAGUGGCUCACACCUGUAAUCCCAGCACUUUGGGAGGCCGAGGGGGUGGAUCACUUGAAGUUAGGAGUUCAAGAUCAGCUUGGGCAACAUGGUGAAACCAUGUGUCUACUGGAAAUACAAAAAUUAGCUGGGAGUGGUGGUAUGCCUCUGUAAUCCCAGAUACUCAGUGACUGAGGCAAGAGAAUCCCUUGAACCUGGGAGGCAGAAGUUGCAGUGAGCCGAAAUUGGGCCACUGCACUCCAGCCUGGGUGACAGCAUGGGACUCCAUCUCAAACAAACAACAACAACAACAAAAUAGGAAAUUGGGAUUUUUAUAUUUCUCUGGCUUCUUAUGCUGCAAUUCACAUUCCCUAGGAGAGUGAAUAUGGGAUUUGCAAUUUUCCCUAAAAUCUAGAGCAGAAAUCAGCAAACAAUGGCUCUUGGUCCAAGUCUGGCUCACUACUUGUUUUUAUAAAGUUUUCUGAAAUACAGCCAUGCUCAUUUUUAAACCUAUUGCUUAUGCCUGGUUUCAUACUAUAAAGUCAGAGUUGUAUACUUGCAACAGAGACUGAAAGCUAAAAAUAUUAACUCUUUGGAUCUUCCCAGAAAAAGUUUGCUGCUCCAGAUCUAGGGUAAGAAUCUCCAAAGUCAGAGUAUAUGCACCUUUAGGAGAAAAAUGUUUAACUUGAACUUCCAUGAAGAUUUGUUUUUUUUUUGUCCCAACCUUUAUUAUUUUUGAUAUGUGUUUUACAAUGUACCUAAUAAUUGACUAUAGUAAAUAUGAAAUUAUUGCUAAUAAAUAUACAUAUAUGGGAGCAUAUUCUCAAAGUAUUUUACUAAUGCAAGAGGCAUGGUCAAAAAGAUGUGGAGGCCAUUAGUCAGAAGAUGCAGGUAUUCCAGAUAAAAUACACGAAUGCAACCCAUAAAAUGAUAGCAAAUAUACAUUGUGACUUCAACAAAGGCCAGGCUACAUAGGAUACUUUCUGUUUUAGUAAUAAAAUUCAGGAAACUUACAGAAGAAAUCUGUACUUAUUUAUUUCAGACAGGGUCUCAUUCUGUCACCCCGGCUAGAGUGUGGUGGCAUAAUCAUAGCUCACUGCAACUUCUACCUCCAGGGCUCAAGUGAUCCUCCCACCUCAGCCUCACAAGUAGCAGGAAUUACAGGCACAUGCUACCACACUUGGCUAAAUUUUUUAUUUUUUGCAGAGGCAAGAUCUCACUAUAUUGUUCAGGCUGGUCUUGAACUCUUAGGCUCAAGUGAUCCUCCUGCCUCAGCCUCCCAAAGUGCUAGGAUUACAGGCAUAUGCCACCACACCUGGCUUGUAUUUUCGAUAAUUUAAAAAUGCACAUCUUUCAUUUAUAUUUUGGAACAGUCCUUCUCAAAUUGUCUUUUUGUAGGACCACUUUUUGAUUUUUAAACCAUUUUGAACUUAUAUUUUUAUAAAUACAAUAAAAAUUACUUAAAAAAGUGCAAUGACAAAAACAAUCUCUAUUUUUUAAUUAUUAGAUUUAACAAACAUACAACUACUGUGUCAAAUUGCUAUAGAAGUUUCAAAAUAUUUACUCUCGACUAUCGCUUUGUGAAUCACUAGCAAAAAUGUUUGUAGACCAGGAUUGGUUCACUAACAUACGAUAGCACUGGUGUACAGGACUCAAGGGCUUCCUGUAAAAGGCAGGGAUCUGAAAUUUCUUCUAGUGCCUUAAUUUUUGGAGUGGAUGCUUUAUUUAAAUGAGCGAUUACAGCAAAGCGGCAAUAUAAAAUGAUUUGUAAAUGAAAGCAAAAUUUCUAAGUUCUGAGGAUCAAUUCAAUUCAAAUCAUAUGUCUUGGCCUAUGUACAAGGCAAUAUGACAGCCCUAUAAAUAAUAAAAUAUGAUGGAAGACUUUCUUUGCCCUCAUGAAGAUUAAAGUCAAAUAAGACAUUGUUUUUUAAACUUUUUUUGACAGAAGUUCAGUGUUAAAAAAUACAUUUUAUAACAUAAUCCACCAUGCAGGUAUAUAUAUAUUUGAAAUAAGAAU
rnacentral:lncRNA from 1 species